ACCGUGCCUGUAAAGAGAAAGAUAAUACAUUUUAUGUGUGUCAAUUUUUUACAAAAACAGCAAGAUUUUUUAAAAGCCAUUUUAUCUCUGAGAGAUUCAAUGACCAUAUUUGAUGACAAGCCAGAUGGCAGCAUUCUCUAGACCCGGUGCCAAGACGCAUGACAGGAGCCGCAAUUUACCUUCCGUGGUGAGGCUAGCUGCUGAGGCACACCACAGCUGCGGGCGAGCGGGCUGCUGCCGGUAGGUGCAAGCACAGUUGGUUCCCUCCCAAUUUGGAUGCAGCAGGGAGAGAAUACAGUGGGGAAGGGAGGUUUGGAAGGAGGGAGCAGACACAAUGAAACUGACAACCAUUCCAGAAAGAAUGUUUUUUAUGAUACAGGAGUCCAUCAGGGAUUCAACAGAGGGAGUACUGAUGGGGGUGGAACAUCAGGACUACAACUACCACAACAUGUUGUGUGUCCUGAGGAAGACGGUAUCUCUCAUCUGCUCCCACACUAACCAACAGAAGGACAUUCCAGGAACAUUUUGCUGUACCUUCUCUAGUUUGGUGAAGAAAAACAGAACACUAUCUGAGAACGUAUUUGUUGUUAUUUUUAUUGCGUUGUGGUUUUUGGCCCUUCACUGGGAGACGGAAGUAGAACCGAUGAGUAGAAAUUACAAGGAAAUAGAUUUAAAUUCCAGAAAAUAAGCAGUUUUCCAACCAUGAGAGCCAUUGUUGAGUAUCACCUGCUCUAGAAGGUAUUUCAUCAUUUGGAAGGAAAUUAAACAGAUGACUUACCGGUUACUUUUUGACUCUUAAUUCUAAGAUUCGAUGGCA
rnacentral:lncRNA from 10 species